GUAGGUGGCAAGCGUUGUCCGGAAUUAUUGGGCGUAAAGCGCGCGCAGGCGGUUCUUUAAGUCUGAUGUGAAAGCCCACGGCUCAACCGUGGAGGGUCAUUGGAAACUGGAGAACUUGAGUACAGAAGAGGAAAGCGGAAUUCCACGUGUAGCGGUGAAAUGCGUAGAGAUGUGGAGGAACACCAGUGGCGAAGGCGGCUUUCUGGUCUGUAACUGACGCUGAGGCGCGAAAGCGUGGGGAGCAAACAGGGAUUAGAUACCCUGGUAGUCCACGCCGUAAACAAUGAGUGCUAAGUGUUAGGGGGGUUUCCGCCCCCCUUAGUGCUGCAGCUAACGCAUUAAGCACUCCGCCUGGGGAUACGGCCGCAAGGCUG
rnacentral:rRNA from 1 species